rnacentral:rRNA from 1 species
UACGUAGGGGGCAAGCGUUGUCCGGAAUCAUUGGGCGUAAAGAGCGCGUAGGCGGUCCGGUAAGUCGGUUGUGAAAACUGGGGGCUCAACCCUCAGAGGCCGACCGAUACUGCCGGGCUAGAGUCCGGAAGAGGCGAGUGGAAUUCCUGGUGUAGCGGUGAAAUGCGCAGAUAUCAGGAAGAACACCCGUGGCGAAGGCGGCUCUCUGGGACGGUACUGACGCUGAGACGCGAAAGCGUGGGGAGCGAACAGG